UUUCUUGGUGUGGCUCGUCACCCCUCCUCCGACUGGCCCUUCAUCUCUCUUGCUCUCCCUUGGGCCACUGGAUGUCAGCGAGAAGAGUCUAAUGAAGACUCCUCUUUUGACAAUGCGAGUCCCUGUGUGAAAGCCCCCGCUCACCAGCCUGCCUUCGCUUGACAAAUGAUGAAGAUAAUGAAAGUGAAGGUGCAGAGCGGAACGGCCAAGACAGUCUGGGCACGUCUCUCAUCACCACCUGUUUGUGCAGACAGAGAGCCCCCCGAGGAGUUUCAGGUGACCUCAGCCUUGCGAGGCGCAGGUAUUUCUCAGAACCGGCGGGACCGGAAACCUUUUCACUUUGUACAGUCUGGUCUGGGAAUCUUGAAAGAAUCCGUUUUCUUUCGACCCACAAUGCUUCUGGGUGUGUAUGUGGUGGUUUGGGGGUGGGGUGGAAGAUUCUAUGAGAUGUUCAUUCUCACUGUUGUUUUGGUUUUGAUCUAUUCCAUGCAAGAGAAGUCUGCAUUCCUAGGUCCUUCUGUUUGAGACUCUACUGAGAGGCUUCAGGCUGCACUGUGCACAACCUCUUACGGUCAGGCCCUGCAAGCUUAUGCUGCUUCACCUUCCCUUUGCAUACCGUGGAGGAAAAAUCAUAAUGCUCACUGUGGGCCAAAGCCUUUGUUAUGCUCAGGGCUUCGGAAGAUUGGAUUACUACAACACUACGGAAGAGAAAACUGAGGUUCACAGAGGCUAGCAACUCUCCAAGGCCCCACAGCAGAUAUCUCAUCUAGUCGGAACUUGCUCCUAGGCCUGUCUGGCUCUCAGCUGCCACACCACGCUGCCUCCCUUGAGGAAAGGAUGGUUGAUGUGGGAUAUGUUGGAACAAUGCAGCCUCCUGAAAUCAGCUUUGCCUUUAAAGACAGAAGUGACAGGGGCCAAAGAGUGCACAGGACUGGCUGGACAGGGUUAGGAGUCACAUGUGUCAGGUCCUAGUUGGACUGGACCACUCCCUGACCACAAGAGCUCUAGACAACCACUGGAACUUUCUGAGCUCACGUCCUCAUCUGGAAAUGGAGCAAACACCCUCUGCCCUUUCCACUUUACAGGAUGAUUCUGAAGGAGGUUUGUGGACUGAAAAGUACUUUAUGACUGUAAGGGCUUCCUGGAUGAGACAUUUUCAAAAAAGAGCUGUGAUUACAGGAGUAACGUAGGCAUAUUUUGUUUUCUUAUGAUAGGUCCCUGAUGUGUUUUUAGAUAUGUUAAACUUUCACAGAGUCUCAUCUUCAAAAACACAGUCCUGUAAGAUCCUAGGCUUUUUUAUGUCUGAGUUAUAACGAAUAAAUGAACACCAAUCCUUGUAGCGGGCA
rnacentral:lncRNA from 1 species